rnacentral:rRNA from 1 species
GAGUUUGAUCCUGGCUCCCAGCGAACGCUGGCGGCAGGCUUAACACAUGCAAGUCGAGCGGGCCCUUCGGGGUCAGCGGCAGACGGGUGAGUAACGCGUGGGAACGUGCCCUUCGGUUCGGAAUAACUCAGGGAAACUUGAGCUAAUACCGGAUACGUGCUUGGGCAGAAAGGUUUAUCUGCCGAAGGAUCGGCCCGCGUCUGAUUAGCUAGUUGGUGAGGUUAUGGCUCACCAAGGCGACGAUCAGUAGCUGGUCUGAGAGGAUGAUCAGCCACACUGGGACUGAGACACGGCCCAGACUCCUACGGGAGGCAGCAGUGGGGAAUAUUGGACAAUGGGGGCAACCCUGAUCCAGCCAUGCCGCGUGAGUGAUGACGGCCUUAGGGUUGUAAAGCUCUUUUCUCCGGGACGAUAAUGACGGUACCGGAGGAAUAAGCCCCGGCUAACUUCGUGCCAGCAGCCGCGGUAAUACGAAGGGGGCUAGCGUUGCUCGGAAUCACUGGGCGUAAAGGGCGCGUAGGCGGCUGAUCUAGUCGAGGGUGAAAGCCCGUGGCUCAACCACGGAAUGGCCUUCGAUACUGAUUGGCUUGAGACCGGAAGAGGACAGCGGAACUGCGAGUGUAGAGGUGAAAUGAGUAGAGAUGCGCAAGAACACCAGUGGCGAAGGCGGCUGGAUGUGCCGGUGAUGACGCUGAGGCGCGAAAGCGUGGGGAGCAAACAGGAUGAGAGACCCGGGGAGG